CCGGAGGUCAUUGCUAUUGGGGUCCGAUUUAGCCAUGCUAGUUGCACGAGUUCAUACUCGUGGCGAAAAGCUCAGUAACACGUGGCCAAACUACCCUACAGAGAACGAUAACCUCGGGAAACUGAGGCUAAUAGUUCAUACGGGAGUCAUGCUGGAAUGCCGACUCCCCGAAACGCUCAGGCGCUGUAGGAUGUGGCUGCGGCCGAUUAGGUAGACGGUGGGGUAACGGCCCACCGUGCCGAUAAUCGGUACGGGUUGUGAGAGCAAGAGCCCGGAGACGGAAUCUGAGACAAGAUUCCGGGCCCUACGGGGCGCAGCAGGCGCGAAACCUUUACACUGCACGCAAGUGCGAUAAGGGGACCCCAAGUGCGAGGGCAUAUAGUCCUCGCUUUUCUCGACUGUAAGGCGGUCGAGGAAUAAGAGCUGGGCAAGACCGGUGCCAGCCGCCGCGGUAAUACCGGCAGCUCAAGUGAUGACCGAUAUUAUUGGGCCUAAAGCGUCCGUAGCCGGCCAUGAAGGUUCAUCGGGAAAUCCGCCAGCUCAACUGGCGGGCGUCCGGUGAAAACCACAUGGCUUGGGACCGGAAGGCUCGAGGGGUACGUCCGGGGUAGGAGUGAAAUCCCGUAAUCCUGGACGGACCACCGAUGGCGAAAGCACCUCGAGAAGACGGAUCCGACGGUGAGGGACGAAAGCUAGGGUCUCGAACCGGAUUAGAUACCCGGGUAGUCCUAGCUGUAAACGAUGCUCGCUAGGUGUGACACAGGCUACGAGCCUGUGUUGUGCCGUAGGGAAGCCGAGAAGCGAGCCGCCUGGGAAGUACGUCCGCAAGGAUGAAAC
rnacentral:rRNA from 1 species